AUUGAACGCUGGCGGCAGGCCUAACACAUGCAAGUCGAGCGGUAGCACAGAGAGCUUGCUCUCGGGUGACGAGCGGCGGACGGGUGAGUAAUGUCUGGGAAACUGCCUGAUGGAGGGGGAUAACUACUGGAAACGGUAGCUAAUACCGCAUAAUGUCGCAAGACCAAAGUGGGGGACCUUCGGGCCUCAUGCCAUCAGAUGUGCCCAGAUGGGAUUAGCUAGUAGGUGGGGUAACGGCUCACCUAGGCGACGAUCCCUAGCUGGUCUGAGAGGAUGACCAGCCACACUGGAACUGAGACACGGUCCAGACUCCUACGGGAGGCAGCAGUGGGGAAUAUUGCACAAUGGGCGCAAGCCUGAUGCAGCCAUGCCGCGUGUGUGAAGAAGGCCUUCGGGUUGUAAAGCACUUUCAGCGGGGAGGAAGGCGGUGAGGUUAAUAACCUCAUCGAUUGACGUUACCCGCAGAAGAAGCACCGGCUAACUCCGUGCCAGCAGCCGCGGUAAUACGGAGGGUGCAAGCGUUAAUCGGAAUUACUGGGCGUAAAGCGCACGCAGGCGGUCUGUCAAGUCGGAUGUGAAAUCCCCGGGCUCAACCUGGGAACUGCAUUCGAAACUGGCAGGCUAGAGUCUUGUAGAGGGGGGUAGAAUUCCAGGUGUAGCGGUGAAAUGCGUAGAGAUCUGGAGGAAUACCGGUGGCGAAGGCGGCCCCCUGGACAAAGACUGACGCUCAGGUGCGAAAGCGUGGGGAGCAAACAGGAUUAGAUACCCUGGUAGUCCACGCCGUAAACGAUGUCGAUUUGGAGGUUGUGCCCUUGAGGCGUGGCUUCCGGAGCUAACGCGUUAAAUCGACCGCCUGGGGAGUACGGCCGCAAGGUUAAAACUCAAAUGAAUUGACGGGGGCCCGCACAAGCGGUGGAGCAUGUGGUUUAAUUCGAUGCAACGCGAAGAACCUUACCUGGUCUUGACAUCCACAGAACUUUCCAGAGAUGGAUUGGUGCCUUCGGGAACUGUGAGACAGGUGCUGCAUGGCUGUCGUCAGCUCGUGUUGUGAAAUGUUGGGUUAAGUCCCGCAACGAGCGCAACCCUUAUCCUUUGUUGCCAGCGGUUAGGCCGGGAACUCAAAGGAGACUGCCAGUGAUAAACUGGAGGAAGGUGGGGAUGACGUCAAGUCAUCAUGGCCCUUACGACCAGGGCUACACACGUGCUACAAUGGCAUAUACAAAGAGAAGCGACCUCGCGAGAGCAAGCGGACCUCAUAAAGUAUGUCGUAGUCCGGAUUGGAGUCUGCAACUCGACUCCAUGAAGUCGGAAUCGCUAGUAAUCGUAGAUCAGAAUGCUACGGUGAAUACGUUCCCGGGCCUUGUACACACCGCCCGUCACACCAUGGGAGUGGGUUGCAAAAGAAGUAGGUAGCUUAACCUUCGGGAGGGCGCUUACCACUUUGUGAUUCAUGACUGGGGUGA
rnacentral:rRNA from 1 species